UGUUAUUCAAAUUGUUAUAUUUACAAAUUCUUUUCAAUAAAUUGUCAUUAAUUAUACAAAAGACUCCUUUUUAAUUAAAAAUUCAAUUCCCAUGGGAAUUGAAAAAAAAAAUAAAAAAAAUCCACCUACCCCGGCCGGCUCCCCAAGUACUACCUCUACUUCAAGCAGAAGUACUUCUACUAUAUAGUAGAAGUGCUUCUACUCAAAGUAGAGGUAGUACUCGGAGAGCCAGCCGGGGUAGCGAGGCGAAGAGAAGACCAACCUUGCAAAUGCAAAAUAAUGCAAAUUGCUAAGUCGACUUCUCUUGAGAGCAGCCACGCGCAUACCUGACAAAUGUAAAACAACAAGCAUUAGUAACAAAUACUCGACAUGCAAAUUUUUAAUCCCAUGGCCGAAAAUGACAAGUGCCCCCCACUGAUUCCUACCAACUGCCUACCUGCCUCAGUCCUAAGCUGUCUGCCUUGGUCCUAAGCUACCUGCAUUCCAUUCGUAACUUCCGCUUUCCUCACCAUCACACAGACACUCACAACUGCCC